GAUGAACGCUGGCGGCGUGCCUAAUACAUGCAAGUCGAGCGAACGGACGAGAAGCUUGCUUCUCUGAUGUUAGCGGCGGACGGGUGAGUAACACGUGGAUAACCUACCUAUAAGACUGGGAUAACUUCGGGAAACCGGAGCUAAUACCGGAUAAUAUUUUGAACCGCAUGGUUCAAAGGUAAAAGACGGUCUUGCUGUCACUUAUAGAUGGAUCCGCGCUGCAUUUGCUAGUUGGUAAGGUAACGGCUUACCAAGGCAACGAUGCAUAGCCGACCUGAGAGGGUGAUCGGCCACACUGGAACUGAGACACGGUCCAGACUCCUACGGGAGGCAGCAGUAGGGAAUCUUCCGCAAUGGGCGAAAGCCUGACGGAGCAACGCCGCGUGAGUGAUGAAGGUCUUCGGAUCGUAAAACUCUGUUAUUAGGGAAGAACAUAUGUGUAAGUAACUGUGCACAUCUUGACGGUACCUAAUCAGAAAGCCACGGCUAACUACGUG
rnacentral:rRNA from 1 species